ACCCGCUGGAAUUAAGCAUAUCAAUAAGUGGAGGAAAAGAAACCAACAGGGAUUGCCUUAGUAACGGCGAGUGAAGCGGCAACAGCUCAAAUUUUAAAUCUGCCACCGUGCCGAGUUGUAAUUUGCAGAGGAUGUUAUGGAAUUUGUUUGGACUCAAGUCCUUUGGAAAAAGGCGCCAUGGAGAGUGACAGUCUCGUACUUUCCAAUUCAUUUUCCAUGUAUAACUCCUUCAAAGAGUCGAGUUGUUUGGGAAUGCAGCUCUAAGUGGGACGUAAAUUUGUUCCAAAGCUAAAUACCGGCUAGAGACCGAUAGCGCACAAGUAGAGUGAUCGAAAGAUGAAAAGCACUUUGAAAAGAGAGUUAAAAAGCACGUGAAAUUGUUGAAAGGGAAGCUUAUGUCAUCAGAAAUGAUGUCAUUGUUCAGCCUUUUGGUGUAUUCAAUGAUAUCAGGCUAGCAUCAGUUUGGAUAGUUGGAUAAAAGUGUUGGAAAUGUAGCUCCUCCGGGAGUGUUAUAGUCUGAUACAUAAUGCAGCUUAUCCAGACUGAGGACCGCUUUAAGGAUGCUGGCAUAAUGGUGGCAUGAGGCCCGUCUUGAAACACGGA
rnacentral:rRNA from 1 species